UAGAAUGGUAAUGCCUAAGAUUUAAUGAACCUUUGGUAAUGUAGCUGAUAUCUGUAAUUCAUGCUGCCACUUGCACCCAUGCUGAUGUCAUUUACCAUUGUUGCCUCUGUUAACCUUUUUUAUUUUUAUAAAAGGGCCUGACAGGAAUUCCUAUUGUUUGUGUAAGCCAUGUUGAUUCAUAUUGUCCUAUUUACUGUGGGAUAACAUUGUGAUUGCCAUGACCUCCCUGGUCCCUUGUGACCAUAUUCAUGGAAGUGUUCUGUGUUGCCAGAAUAAAGAAUGUAAAUUUCCAAGGACAAAAAUACCAACUGAAACUAAUUUGAUAUCUGGAAUACUUGUUGUCACCUCCAAACAAAUUAAAUCAUUCAUCCCUGCUGAAUCUCUUAAUCAUGCAGAUGUCCAUGAGCAGACAUACCAUGCUAUUCCUACUAUUUCUGGAAGCCAUGUUGAUGCCAGGUUUCUUUCUUGCCCAUGAAUCUGAUGUUGAUGUCUAUCUGACCUCCUACCUGAUAUCAUGUUGAUUUAAGAGUUCUGUCUUUCCAACAUGAAGAAUGUUAAUUUCCCUGAUCUCAACUACCAAUAUACACUAUGUGGCUAUCCAUUCAACAUACUACCACCUGAAACCUUGUGAUUUUAUUGAUCCAUACUGCUUUUGAUACCCAUAUACAUGUCCAUUAUUGGAACUAUAAUGCAUUUUCUAAUACUUCUGGUAUGAGAUUGAUGCUCAUGGUCUUGUUAACCACUGCAUAUCAUGUGGAUUUCCAUGAUCUCUGUUUCUACAGGUGAUGAUGCUAAUAUAAGUGUUCCUUUUUGCCAAUGUAUAGAAUGGUAAUUUCCAAGAUUUAACCAACUUUUGGUAACUAAGUUAUUCAUGCUGCCACCUGCAACCAUGCUGAUGUCAUUGAUCACUACUGCUUUUGCAAACCCUGCUGAUAUUAAUGAAUGGAGCACCCCUGCAAUCCUAUUGGUUUUAUAAGCCAUGUUGAUGCAGGUGGUCCCUUGUGCCAUGGGUUAACAUCAUCUUUGCCAUAAAUUCACCAGCCCUUUAUGGCCAUAUUAAGGCAAGUGUUCCUUUUUGACAUUGUGUAAAAUGGUAAUUUCCAAGAUUUAACAAGCAUCAGUAACUAAGCAGAUAUCCGUAAUUCAUGCUGCAACCUCCAAACAUGCUGAUGUCAUUGAUCCCUCUUGCCAAUGUUAACCAUUUUGUUGUCUAUGAAUGUACCCCCAAUGCAUUCCUGUUGGUUCUGUAAGCCAUGUUGAUACAUGUGGUCCUUAUUACCAUGGGAUAACACCUCCAUUGCUUUCAAUUCUCCAUCCCCUUAUCACCUUAUUUGUGUAAGUAUUCUGUGUUGCAUAUAUAACGAAUGUAAUUUCCAAGAAUUGAUCUACUAACAGAAACUAAGUUAAUAUCCUGAAUACAUGAUGUUACCUCCAAACAAGUUGAGGUCUUAAAAUCCAGCUGAGUCUCUUAAACAUGUGCAUAUCCAUGGUUGGAAGGGCAAUGCUAUUCCUACUCCUUCCGGGAGCAAUGUUGAUGCUCAUGAUCUUACGACUGGACACCAGUUUGAUUUCCAUGAUCUCUCCUGCUACAAGUUAUUAUGUUAAGAUAUGACAUUGAUGUCCAUAUCCAUGGAGAUAUUCUGCUACCUGAGACCCUACUGAUGCAAGAGUUCUGUGCUGCCAACGUGAUGAAUGUUAAUUGCCAUGAUCUGAGCUACCAUCUGAAACUGGUGAUAUUUACAUGCUACCACCUGCAACCUUGUGGAUGACAUGGAUACCUGCUGUUCUCUUUAUCAUGUUCAUGAGCUUUACUAUGCUAUUCCUAUUGGUUUGAAGUCCAUGUUGAUGCCUUAUGUCACGUUUUGCUCCUGGAUAAGGUGUUGAUGUUGAUGUCCAUGUUCUGUCCUGCCACCUGAGACCACAUUGAGGAAAUCAUGUUGAUGUCACUAUUCUUUACUGCAUCUUCUAAACAUUGUUGAUGUUCAUCAUCCAACCUACUGUCCAAACUUUGUUGAUGUUACUGAUCUAUGUUGUAGCUGUCAACCAUGUUGAGGUUACUGAACUUUGCUACCACCUGUAACCAUAUUGAUGUCUGCAGUGUACAGUGUCAUCAGAAACAGUUUUGAAGUCAUUUGUCCAUACUGCUACCUUAGAUCCAGUUCAAGCAACCAUGUUGAUGUGAGUGAUUCUCACUGCCUCUCUUAACCUUGCUGAUGUCCAUGAUUCGACCUGUCAUCUGAAACUUUGUUUAUGUGACUGAUCUUUGCUGUUGCUUUCAAUCAUGUUGAUGCUACUGAAACUUGCCUCCACUUGUAACAAUACUGUUGUCUCUAUUAUGGUAUAAUCUGUGACAAUUCUGAAAUCAAUCGUAUAUACUACCACCUGAGACCCACUUCAGGAAACCAACCAUGUUGAUGUCUCUGCUCUUUGUUCCCUUUUUGACCAUGUGGAUGUCCAUUAUCUGACUUAACAUCAGAAAUUAUGUUGAUGUCACUCAUUCAUGCUGCAGCUGAUAACCAUGUUUAUGGCCAUAGUCUUUGUUGGAAUCUUAGACCUUGUGAAUGUCCAUUGUCCAUGUUGCCACCUGAGUCCAUGAUGAUGACCAUGAUGACUUUAGUCUUUGCUGCUGUCAGCCAUAAUGUUGAUGUCUCUGAUUGGUGCUGCUACUGGGGACUAGGUCAAUAUGAAUGAUCUGAGCUGCCAACAGAAACUAUUUUGAUAUCAUUAAGCCAUCAUUGUGCUGGAAACCAUGUUGAAAUCUUUGUCCUUGAUGCCCUCAAAUACUAUGUUUAUGUUCAUGCUCUGGGUUGCAUGCUGAAGACCAGUUGGAUAUCCAUGACCCAGCUGCUGAUGGAGACUGUGUCGAUGUCUGUGGUCAGUACUGCCACAAGAAAACAUCCUGAUAGUGAUCUGUGAUGCCUCCCUCAAACAUGUUAUGUUGGUGAUCUGUGUCGAUGUCCUGGACCAGAUGGAUGGCAGUUAUCCAAGCUGUCACCAGUAAUCUUGUAUUCCAUGAUCUGUGCUGCUCCUGGAAACCCUGUAGAAGUCUAUGAUUCAUUCUCCUGCUGGAAACCAUGUGGAAGGCCUUGAUCUGUACUUCCACUGAUUUUUAUGGGCAAAGAACUUCUUUUGCAGUAGUAUCAAUGACUGUAGAAUCAUAACUGAAAUUCACACGGACAUUGAAGGCUUCUCUGCCACCAUCCCUCCAGAAAAGAAAAUCUAGACAGGAUCUUAUUGGAGAGUUUUUGAAAGUUGUACUAAAAAUACUUAACUGUAGCUCUUCACAGUUGAUGGCUUCAGGCAGGGGUUGGUAAAGAACUCCUUUUUAAAGGGCUGGCUACUGCAAGUUUGACCAUGCUCUAAUGAGUAUAAGGAGAACACCAAUUGGACUUGUUAUAUUGCAUUUUUUCAAUUCUGGGGGAGGAUGCCACAAGGGUGAGAGGUGGACCUGGGAGGAC